rnacentral:rRNA from 1 species
AUUGAACGCUGGCGGCAGGCCUAACACAUGCAAGUCGAGCGAGCGGCGGACGGGUGAGUACUGUCUGGGAAACUGCCUGAUGGAGGGGGAUAACUACUGGAAACGGUAGCUAAUACCGCAUACCAUCAGAUGUGCCCAGAUGGGAUUAGCUAGUAGGUGGGGUAACGGCUCACCUAGGCUACGAUCCUUAGCUGGUCUGAGAGGAUGACCCGCUACACUGGAACUGAGACACGGUCCAGACUCCGACGGGAGGCAGCAGUGGGGAAUAUUGGUCAAUGGGCGCAAGCCUGAUGCAGCCAUGGCGGGUGUGUGAAGAAGGCCUUCGGAUUGUAGAGCACUUUCAGCGGGGAGGCGUUACCCGCAGAAGAAGCACCGGCUAACUCCGUGCCAGCAGCAGCGGUAAUUC